rnacentral:rRNA from 1 species
UACGAAGGGGGCUAGCGUUGCUCGGAAUCACUGGGCGUAAAGGGUGCGUAGGCGGGUCUUUAAGUCGGGGGGGAAAUCCUGGAGCUCAACUCCAGAACUGCCUUUGAUACUGAAGAUCUUGAGUUCGGGAGAGGUGAGUGGAACUGCGAGUGUAGAGGUGAAAUUCGUAGAUAUUAGGAAGAACACCAGUGGCGAAGGCGGCUCACUGGCCCGGUACUGACGCUGAGGCGCGAAAGCGUGGGGAGCAAACAGG